rnacentral:rRNA from 1 species
CAUGCAAGUCGAGCGCCCCGCAAGGGGAGCGGCAGACGGGUGAGUAACACGUGGGAACGUGCCUUUUGGUUCGGAACAACCCAGGGAAACUUGGGCUAAUACCGGAUAAGCCCUUACGGGGAAAGAUUUAUCGCCAAAAGAUCGGCCCGCGUCUGAUUAGCUAGUUGGUGAGGUAACGGCUCACCAAGGCGACGAUCAGUAGCUGGUCUGAGAGGAUGAUCAGCCACACUGGGACUGAGACACGGCCCAGACUCCUACGGGAGGCAGCAGUGGGGAAUCUUGGACAAUGGGCGCAAGCCUGAUCCAGCCAUGCCGCGUGAGUGAUGAAGGCCCUAGGGUUGUAAAGCUCUUUCAGCGGGGAAGAUAAUGACGGUACCCGCAGAAGAAGCCCCGGCUAACUUCGUGCCAGCAGCCGCGGUAAUACGAAGGGGGCUAGCGUUGCUCGGAAUCACUGGGCGUAAAGCGCACGUAGGCGGUUUCUUAAGUCAGGGGUGAAAUCCUGGAGCUCAACUCCAGAACUGCCUUUGAUACUGGGAGACUUGAGUUCGGGAGAGGUGAGUGGAACUGCGAGUGUAGAGGUGAAAUUCGUAGAUAUUCGCAAGAACACCAGUGGCGAAGGCGGCUCACUGGCCCGAUACUGACGCUGA